rnacentral:rRNA from 1 species
GACGAACCGUGCGAACGUUGUUCGGAAUCACUGGGCUUAAAGGGCGCGUAGGCGGGCAUCCAAGUCAGUGGUGAAAUCCUCCGGCCUAACCGGAGAAGAGCUGUUGAUACUGGGUGCCUCGAGUGGUGCAGGGGUCUGCGGAACUUCCGGUGGAGCGGUGAAAUGCGUAGAGAUCGGAAGGAACGCCGGUGGCGAAAGCGGCGGACUGGGCACCUCCUGACGCUGAGGCGCGAAAGCUAGGGGAGCGAACGGG